ACGCGCGGAACCUUACCAGGUCUUGACAUCCUCUGACACUCCUAGAGAUAGGACGUUCCCCUUCGGGGGACAGAGUGACAGGUGGUGCAUGGUUGUCGUCAGCUCGUGUCGUGAGAUGUUGGGUUAAGUCCCGCAACGAGCGCAACCCUUGAUCUUAGUUGCCAGCAUUAAGUUGGGCACUCUAAGGUGACUGCCGGUGACAAACCGGAGGAAGGUGGGGAUGACGUCAAAUCAUCAUGCCCCUUAUGACCUGGGCUACACACGUGCUACAAUGGACGGUACAAACGGUUGCGAAGUCGCGAGAUGGAGCUAAUCUGAUAAAACCGUUCUCAGUUCGGAUUGUAGGCUGCAACUCGCCUACAUGAAGCUGGAAUCGCUAGUAAUCGCGGAUCAGCAUGCCGCGGUGAAUACGUUCCCGGGCCUUGCACACACCGCCCGU
rnacentral:rRNA from 1 species